GGCGAACGGGUGAGUAACACGUGGGCAAUCUGCCCUUCACUCUGGGACAAGCCCUGGAAACGGGGUCUAAUACCGGAUAACACUCCCUCCCUCCUGGGUGGGGGUUAAAAGCUCCGGCGGUGAAGGAUGAGCCCGCGGCCUAUCAGCUUGUUGGUGAGGUAAUGGCUCACCAAGGCGACGACGGGUAGCCGGCCUGAGAGGGCGACCGGCCACACUGGGACUGAGACACGGCCCAGACUCCUACGGGAGGCAGCAGUGGGGAAUAUUGCACAAUGGGCGAAAGCCUGAUGCAGCGACGCCGCGUGAGGGAUGACGGCCUUCGGGUUGUAAACCUCUUUCAGCAGGGAAGAAGCGAAAGUGACGGUACCUGCAGAAGAAGCGCCGGCUAACUACGUGCCAGCAGCCGCGGUAAUACGUAGGGCGCAAGCGUUGUCCGGAAUUAUUGGGCGUAAAGAGCUCGUAGGCGGCUUGUCACGUCGGGUGUGAAAGCCCGGGGCUUAACCCCGGGUCUGCAUUCGAUACGGGCUAGCUAGAGUGUGGUAGGGGAGAUCGGAAUUCCUGGUGUAGCGGUGAAAUGCGCAGAUAUCAGGAGGAACACCGGUGGCGAAGGCGGAUCUCUGGGCCAUUACUGACGCUGAGGAGCGAAAGCGUGGGGAGCGAACAGGAUUAGAUACCCUGGUAGUCCACGCCGUAAACGGUGGGAACUAGGUGUUGGCGACAUUCCACGUCGUCGGUGCCGCAGCUAACGCAUUAAGUUCCCCGCCUGGGGAGUACGGCCGCAAGGCUAAAACUCAAAGGAAUU
rnacentral:rRNA from 1 species